UACAGAGGUUCCAAGCGUUGUUCGGAUUCACUGGGCGUAAAGGGUGCGUAGGUGGUGAGGUAAGUCGGAUGUGAAAGCUCGGAGCUCAACUCCGAAAUGGCAUUGGAAACUACCUUGCUCGAGGGUUGGAGGGGGGACUGGAAUGCUUGGUGUAGCAGUGAAAUGCGUAGAUAUCAAGCGGAACACCAGUGGCGAAGGCGAGUCCCUGGACAACUCCUGACACUGAGGCACGAAAGCUAGGGGAGCAAACAGG
rnacentral:rRNA from 1 species